rnacentral:tRNA from 1 species
UGAGGGGUAGUUUAAGCAGAAUGUAGGAUUGUCAAUCUUAUGGUGUCGCGUUGAGACCCUCUUAG